UGGGAACUGACAUUGCACUUAACUGCUGA
rnacentral:piRNA from 1 species